GCGUGAAGCAGGUGGAUCCCUUCGGGGUGACACCUGUGGAUCGAGCGGCGGACGGGUGAGUAACACGUGGGCAACCUGCCUGUAAGACUGGGAUAACCCCGGGAAACCGGGGCUAAUACCGGGUAAUACCGGACUCCGCAUGGAGUCUGGUUGAAAGAUGGCUUCUUGCUAUCACUUACAGAUGGGCCCGCGGCGCAUUAGCUAGUUGGUGAGGUAACGGCUCACCAAGGCAACGAUGCGUAGCCGACCUGAGAGGGUGAUCGGCCACACUGGGACUGAGACACGGCCCAGACUCCUACGGGAGGCAGCAGUAGGGAAUCUUCCGCAAUGGACGAAAGUCUGACGGAGCAACGCCGCGUGAACGAUGAAGGUCUUCGGAUCGUAAAGUUCUGUUGUCAGGGAAGAACACGUACCGUUCGAACAGGACGGUACCUUGACGGUACCUGACGAGGAAGCCCCGGCUAACUACGUGCCAGCAGCCGCGGUAAUACGUAGGGGGCAAGCGUUGUCCGGAAUUAUUGGGCGUAAAGCGCGCGCAGGCGGUUCCUUAAGUCUGAUGUGAAAGCCCACGGCUCAACCGUGGAGGGUCAUUGGAAACUGGGGAACUUGAGUACAGAAGAGGAGAGUGGAAUUCCACGUGUAGCGGUGAAAUGCGUAGAU
rnacentral:rRNA from 1 species